rnacentral:rRNA from 1 species
AACGAACGCUGGCGGCAUGCCUAACACAUGCAAGUCGAACGAGACCUUCGGGUCUAGUGGCGCACGGGUGCGUAACGCGUGGGAACCUGCCCUUAGGUUCGGAAUAACUCCCCGAAAGGGGUGCUAAUACCGGAUAAUGUCUUCGGACCAAAGAUUUAUCGCGUUUGGAUGGGCCCGCGUUGGAUUAGCUAGUUGGUAGGGUAAAAGCCUACCAAGGCGACGAUCCAUAGCUGGUCGGAGAGGAUGAUCAGCCACACUGGGACUGAGACACGGCCCAGACUCCUACGGGAGGCAGCAGUGGGGAAUAUUGGACAAUGGGCGAAAGCCUGAUCCAGCAAGGCCGCGUGAGUGAUGAAGGCCUUAGGGUUGUAAAGCUCUUUUACCCGGGAUGAUAAUGACAGUACCGGGAGAAUAAGCGCCGGCUAACUCCGUG